CCCUUAGAUGUUCUGGGAUGCACGCGCGUUACACUGAUUCGUUCAACGAGUUUAUGACCUUGCCUGAUGAGGUGGGGGAAUCUUUUCAAAUCGCAUCGUGAUGGGGAUAGAGUAUUGUAACUGUUAGUCUUCAACGAGGAAUUCCUAGUAAGUACGUGUCAUCAGCUCGUACUGAUUAUGUCCCUGCCCUUUGUACACACCGCCCGUCGCUCCUACCGAUUGAGUGCUCAGGUGAAUAGUAUGGACUGCAUCAGUGUUCGGUCUCCGAAUGUUGAAGCGAGAAAUUCUGUGAAUCUUAUUGCUUAGAGGAAGGAGAAGUCGUANCA
rnacentral:rRNA from 1 species